GAUAUCUGAUUAGCUAGUUGGUGAGGUAAAGGCUCACCAAGGCGACGAUCAGUAGCUGGUCUGAGAGGACGACCAGCCACACUGGAACUGAGACACGGUCCAGACUCCUACGGGAGGCAGCAGUGGGGAAUUUUGGACAAUGGGGGAAACCCUGAUCCAGCCAUUCCGCGUGAGUGAAGAAGGCCUUCGGGUUGUAAAGCUCUUUCGCAAGGGAAGAAAAAUUAUCUACUAAUACUAGAUGAGGCUGACGGUACCUUGAUAAGAAGCACCGGCUAACUACGUGCCAGCAGCCGCGGUAAUACGUAGGGUGCGAGCGUUAAUCGGAAUUACUGGGCGUAAAGCGUGCGCAGG
rnacentral:rRNA from 1 species